GCUUACUCAUGACGUUAAGAGGUAUACCUUGGGCUCGGUAAAACAGAUUGCAUCACAAAUACUCAAUGUCUGGAGUAGUGGGGAUAUGAGGAGUAUUCACUCUCUUCUUAGGACUCAAGGACACCUACAACAUUCUCAUAACCUCACAAUGAUCCUCAAGAGCAGAUGCCUAGUGCUAAUCAACAGGAUCACAGUUGCCUUUGCCAUUUAUAACUGGGGAGUAUGAUGCAUAUGCAGAGCCAAUUGCUCUGAGCUUUGAAUCUGCUUCAGUCUUUACAUGAUGCAAAGAAGCAUCUGCUUCCCUUAGUCACCCAAACAAAUUCCACAAAUGAAAGGUGAAAAUAUGCAAAAGCUGUUGAAUUUUCCUUUUCUAAGAUUUACUAGUGUUGCAUGUCAAGGAGGUUUAAUAGCAAUUGCUUGUGAGGGAAAUUAUAGAAGAAAACCAAAAACAAUGGCAAAAAAU